rnacentral:rRNA from 1 species
GGUUAAGCGACUAAGCGUACACGGUGGAUGCCCUGGCAGUCAGAGGCGAUGAAGGACGUGCUAAUCUGCGAUAAGCGCCGGUAAGGUGAUAUGAACCGUUAUAACCGGCGAUUUCCGAAUGGGGAAACCCAGUGUGACUCGUCACACUAUCAUUAACUGAAUCCAUAGGUUAAUGAGGCGAACCGGGGGAA